rnacentral:rRNA from 1 species
ACGGGCCAAAGAGGGGGACCUUCGGGCCUCUCGCGUCAGGAUAUGCCUAGGUGGGAUUAGCUAGUUGGUGAGGUAAGGGCUCACCAAGGCGACGAUCCCUAGCUGGUCUGAGAGGAUGAUCAGCCACACUGGAACUGAGACACGGUCCAGACUCCUACGGGAGGCAGCAGUGGGGAAUAUUGCACAAUGGGCGCAAGCCUGAUGCAGCCAUGCCGCGUGUGUGAAGAAGGCCUUCGGGUUGUAAAGCACUUU